GAGUUUCAUUGCAAAAGAUCCUGCUUCUGGAUAUGGUUCUGUAAUUCCUGAUGCUCAUGGUAUUGAAUCUCAUUCCUCAACUAAGGCUUUAGCAGAGAAGGUCGGAAACUAUUUGGAUCAAUAUAUUGAAGCCAUGGAAAAGGUAAAAUUGAAGCAAGGCUUGAAGAUU